AUUGAACGCUGGCGGCAGGCCUAACACAUGCAAGUCGAACGAGUGGCGGACGGGUGAGUAAUGUCUGGGAAACUGCCCGAUGGAGGGGGAUAACUACUGGAAACGGUAGCUAAUACCGCAUACCAUCGGAUGUGCCCAGAUGGGAUUAGCUAGUAGGUGGGGUAACGGCUAACCAAGGUGACGAUCCCUAGCUGGUCUGAGAGGAGGACCAGCCACACUGGACCUGAGAAACGGUGCAGACUCCUUCGGGCGACAGCAGUGGGGAAUAUUGCACAAUGGGCGCAAGCCUGAUGCAGCCAUGCCGCGGGUAUGAAGAGGGCCUUCGGGUUGUAAAGUACUUUCAGCGAGGAGGCGUUACUCGCAGAAGAAGCACGGGCUAACUCCGUGCCAGCAGCCGCGGUAAUAC
rnacentral:rRNA from 1 species